UUUCGGACUGUUUCAUGGAGGCUUCAAGCAAGUUUCAUGGCUGCGUACGGAGAUCCAUUUUGGAGCUCGGUUCAUGGUUGUUUAUUUUGGAAAAGUUUGGGGCAGGUUUCAUGGCAGUUUUCGGCGUUUUUUGGGCUGGAUUUUGCUGCUUUUUGGACUGAUUUCAUGGCUUCUAAAUAGCUGAUUUUGCAGCAGCUAUGGUGUUUUAUUGAGAUGGUUUAUGGACUGGUUUUGAGAGCUGGUUUGGAGGUAUUUUUGGGGUUACUUUCAGCUGAUUUUUCAUGCUGAUUUGGCGUGAUUUUGGGGAAAGUUCAGGAUGGUUUUAAGGACUGAUUCAUGAAGGGGUUUAGAGGGGGUUACGCUGUGGCAUUUUGGGUUGUUCGGAAAUGUUUUGGGGGUGGUUUGAGGGCAGUUUUUGGAGCUGUUUAAAGCUGGGUUUUGGGGGGGAUUUUUAGGAUGGUUUAAUGCUGAUUUUUUUGGGCGAAGACUAUGAGCUUUGUAUAGCUAUCAAAAUGGCUGAAGGUGCUGGAGUUGUGGCUGAUUUUGGGUAUGGGGUUUGUGAGUCGGGAAUAAUAGUCUGAUUAUUGCAGGAAAUCCCCAACUCUAGAGAGAGUUUAUCACGAUAUCUCAGCAUAAUGAGACGAGAAUAUAGUAUGAACGGAACAGAAACAAUACGAAUGAGGUAUUCGGAAGUGCAUCCAAUACUUUCACUCCUUCACAAGGAAUUCCAGAAAUAGAACAAUUAACAAGACUGCUGUCGUCCACUAGGGAUACGCUUAUUAGCCAAACUGCACAGCGCUUUCUCGAAUUGGAAAGGGAUCUGCGCCAAAAUCUGAACGUGAGUUAUCCGAGGGUGCGCCAGGGAACCCAGUCAAAUGCACAGACAACAAUUGGAACAAUGUUCAACAAUCUAGGUGCAUAUAUUUUUGAACUUGGCCGUGCAGUGAUGGGAGUCCGAAUGGGUGAC